rnacentral:rRNA from 1 species
UUAAGUCCCGCAACGAGCGCAACCCUUGUCAUUAGUUGCUACAUUUAGUUGGGCACUCUAAUGAGACUGCCGGUGACAAACCGGAGGAAGGUGGGGAUGACGUCAAGUCCUCAUGGCCCUUAUAGGUGGGGCUACACACGUCAUACAAUGGCUGGUACAGAGGGUUGCCAACCCGCGAGGGGGAGCUAAUCCCAUAAAACCAGUCGUAGUCCGGAUCGCAGUCUGCAACUCGACUGCGUGAAGUCGGAAUCGCUAGUAAUCGCGGAUCAGCAUGCCGCGGUGAAUACGUUCCCGGGUCUU